AGAUAUAUAUAUAAACUGAAAUCGACCCUCGCAGUAACGGUCCCGUGUUACACAGGGUGAGUAUUGCCGUGACGUGUCAGCGGUCGCUUCCACACUGAGCGAAUUAGUGCGCUGGUCCCGCGGAUGCUGAUUGGUGUCACGUGUUACGCAAUGUUUUCUGUCCUGCAAACCAACGAGCACGUUGCACCGCUGAAGCGACUUUUUUUUAAAAUAUUCCUGGCCCAGCAUGGCGCCUUGUUCUGGGUUUCCAUCUGGAGUGGACCUCUUCAGGGCCUAGCCCAGCAGGAUUGGAUCAGUUCUGGAACUGGCAGCCCAUCCGUGUAAAUGACGUCAUCAAAGAGACAGUUCCUGAUUUCCGAGGCAGGGGAGUGACUGGAAAUGGAAGAUUGCAGAAGUAAAGGUGUUCUUCCAGGUGUUGCACGAGGAACUAGAGCUUCCCGCAUUAAGAAUCCCCCUGCUGUGAUUCACGAAGCCGCUCUCACCUUGUACACAACGCAGAGCCCUGCCUGUCGAAACACCUUCAUCCAGUUUGCACUGUCACAGGAACCAUUCCAUGACCU